rnacentral:rRNA from 1 species
GGCUAAUCAAGUGCGAGCGGCCGCGGAAAUACGUAGGAGACGGGGGGUGUCCGGAAUGAUUGGGCGUAAAGGGCGCGCAGGCGGCCGGUCGCGUGUCUGGUGAAAGCUCUCGGCUUAACCGGGAGAGGUCCAGGCAAACGGGCAGGCUUGAGCGUCGGAGAGGGGCAGGGAACUCCGGGUGGAGCGGUGAAAUGCGUAGAGAUCCGGAAGAACACCAAUGGCGAAGGCAGUGCCCUGGCCGACCGCUGACGCUCAGGCGCGAAAGCGUGGGGAGCAAACAGGAUUAGAUACCCGGGAGUC